rnacentral:rRNA from 1 species
UACGGAGGGUGCAAGCGUUGUUCGGAAUUACUGGGCGUAAAGCGCAUGCAGGCGGAUCAGUCAGUCAGGGGUGAAAUCCCGAGGCUCAACCUCGGAACUGCCUUUGAUACUGCUGAUCUUGAGUCCGGGAGAGGUGAGUGGAACUCCGAGUGUAGAGGUGAAAGUCGUAGAUAUUCGGAAGAACACCAGUGGCGAAGGCGGCUCACUGGCCCGGUACUGACGCUGAGAUGCGAAAGCGUGGGGAGCAAACAGG